CAAUAUGAAGGUCAGGCUGAAGACCUUACCCGAUUAGCUGAGAGGUGGUGCAUGGCUGUCGUCAGUUCGUACUGUGAAGCAUCCUGUUAAGUCAGGCAACGAGCGAGACCCACGUCCACAGUUGCCAGCAUACCCUCCGGGGUGAUGGGUACACUGUGGAGACCGCCGCUGCUAAAGCGGAGGAAGGAGUGGGCAACGGUAGGUCAGUAUGCCCCGAAUCUCCCGGGCUACACGCGGGCUACAAUGGUUGGUACAAUGGGCAUCUACCCCGAAAGGGGAAGGAAAUCUCUUAAAAGCCAAUCGUAGUUCGGAUUGAGGGCUGCAACUCGCCCUCAUGAAGCUGGAAUCCGUAGUAAUCGCGUUUCAACAGAACGCGGUGAAUACGUCCCUGCUCCUU
rnacentral:rRNA from 1 species